rnacentral:rRNA from 1 species
UGCCAGCCGCCGCGGUAAGACAGAGGGUGCAAACGUUGUUCGGAAUUACUGGGCGUAAAGCGUGUGUAGGCGGCUUCAAAAGUCGGGUGUGAAAGCCCAGGGCUCAACCUUGGAAGUGCAUUCGAAACUGCGAGGCUAGAGUACCGGAGAGGUUGGCGGAAUUCUCGGUGUAGAGGUGAAAUUCGUAGAUAUCGAGAGGAACACCGGUGGCGAAGGCGGCCAACUGGACGGAUACUGACGCUGAGACACGAAAGCGUGGGGAGCAAACAGGAUUAGAUA